UACAGAGGGUGCGAGCGUUAAUCGGAAUUACUGGGCGUAAAGCGCACGUAGUCGGCUUUGCAAGUCGGUUGUGAAAUCCCCGGGCUCAACCUGGGAACUGCAUCCGAGACUGCAUUGCUAGAGUAUGGGAGAGGAAAGCGGAAUUUCUGGUGUAGCAGUGAAAUGCGUAGAUAUCAGAAGGGACAUCAGUGGCGAAGGCGGCUUUCUGGACCAAUACUGACGAUCAGGUGCGAAAGCGUGGGGAGCAAACAGG
rnacentral:rRNA from 1 species